rnacentral:tRNA from 1 species
CUGACCUUAGCUCAGUUGGUUAGAGUGGUGGACUGUAGUUGGACUAAUCUAAAUUGGAAAUCCUUAGGUCGUUGGUUUGAUUCCGGCAGGUUGGA